rnacentral:rRNA from 1 species
CAGUCGCCGCGGUAAUACGAAGGGUGCAAGCGUUAAUCGGAAUUACUGGGCGUAAAGCGUGCGUAGGCGGUUUGUUAAGUCUGCUGUGAAAUCCCCGGGCUCAACCUGGGAAUGGCAGUGGAUACUGGCAAGCUAGAGUGUGUCAGAGGAUGGUGGAAUUCUCGGUGUAGCGGUGAAAUGCGUAGAGAUCGGGAGGAACAUCAGUGGCGAAGGCGGCCAUCUGGGACAACACUGACGCUGAGGCACGAAAGCGUGGGGAGCAAACAGGAUUAGAUACCCCAGUAGUCCCUGUCUCUUAUAU